AAGCAAGUCUAAACGACCUUUUUAUUUUAAUGGAAAUUAAAGUAGAAGUAUUUAGAGUAGGGCUUUAUUUAAUGUUUUUUGUGCCUUUAUUUCCUAACGAUUUAGCAGUUUAUAUUGUUUACUAUGCUUUGUUUAGUGUUUUGUUCGAUGUUUUGAAUAUACAGCAUGUUAAAAUGAUAAUUUCUCAGACGAUAGAUAAGAUAGAUAGAUAGGUAACGGUGUAGUUGGCAAUUUGCAACGAUUUACUUCGGUUAUGCGCAUGCGUAAACGGGCCGCACUGCUUCCUCGGUAUGUGGGCCACACGUGUAAGAAGUUAUUCCUAAUUUGCGGCUUGAACCAGGUCAGGAUGAACGGCUGAGACAGAAAGCCAGCCUUUCAGCUCCUGCCGGUUGACCUCCAGGAAGUCCGUCAAGAGCACUUUGUUGAAAACCUCACAGCCGCUCAUCACCUGGUACAGGGUGGGACCUGAACCUAUGUCCACAAGUAGUUCACCACUAAUAUCACCUAAAAGGUGAAGGCUCUGUGAAAACAAGCCAGUUUCCAAGGCACUAUACUGUCCUUCCUUCCAAAGUCGGCCCGUGGUGAAGUGUAGU